CUACGGGAGGCAGCAGUGAGGAAUAUUGGACAAUGGGGGGAACCCUGAUCCAGCCAUGCCGCGUGUGUGAAGAAGGCCCUCGGGUUGUAAAGCACUUUCAGCGAGGAAGAACGCCUAGCGGUUAAUACCCGCUAGGAAAGACAUCACUCGCAGAAGAAGCACCGGCUAACUCCGUGCCAGCAGCCGCGGUAAUACGGAGGGUGCAAGCGUUAAUCGGAAUUACUGGGCGUAAAGCGCGCGUAGGUGGCUUGAUAAGCCGGUUGUGAAAGCCCCGGGCUCAACCUGGGAACGGCAUCCGGAACUGUCAAGCUAGAGUGCAGGAGAGGAAGGUAGAAUUCCCGGUGUAGCGGUGAAAUGCGUAGAGAUCGGGAGGAAUACCAGUGGCGAAGGCGGCCUUCUGGACUGACACUGACACUGAGGUGCGAAAGCGUGGGUAGCAAACAGGAUUAGAUACCCUGGUAGUCCACGCCGUAAACGAUGUCGACCAGCCGUUGGGUGCCUAGCGCACUUUGUGGCGAAGUUAACGCGAUAAGUCGACCGCCUGGGGAGUACGGCCGCAAGGUUAAAACUCAAAUGAAUUGACGGGGGCCCGCACAAGCGGUGGAGCAUGUGGUUUAAUUCGAUGCAACGCGAAGAACCUUACCUACUCUUGACAUCCUGCGAAUUUGGUAGAGAUACUUUAGUGCCUUCGGGAACGCAGAGACAGGUGCUGCAUGGCUGUCGUCAGCUCGUGUCGUGACAUGUUG
rnacentral:rRNA from 1 species